UCCAGCUACAUGUAUCUUACGUCAUCAGUGUGCACUGGCGACUACACGCGUCACACAAUCAGCGCAUGUGUGCUGUAGGUCUGUACCGGGAGCCCUUAAAAGCUGGACGCAGACCCCACCCUCUCUCUGUUCUGCUCCCUCUCCCCCCACCAUCUCUCUCUCUCUUUCCCCCGCAAGCGUGGUCCUUUUGUCCCUCCUCCCCUUCCUCCUAAUAAAGCUCUCCGCUACUAAGCAACCGGGUUCUGUCGUGACCAUGACCUUUCUGCCGGUAACCAGUGUCGCUUAUCAUUCAUUUCAUUGGUGCCACCGAGACUCGGAUAGGACAUUCCGCCCGCUCUGCCUCCGGAGCUGAGUGCUGGAAACCUAUACUGAGGUUCAUCGGACUUGUGACUGCCCACUCCACUUUUCUCAUUUGCCUAGCCGCCAGACCCGCACACCACACCUGCCAACCAGAUUGCAUCCUGUCAGACACAAAAGUGGCCAGAGUACCAGGCCAAGAGGGAUGAACAGCUCCCAAGCAGCAGGACAGCUCACCAUCCCAGGACGUCUACCCCACUGAGCCAACCGACGCCCACCAAGUCAGCUGGAAGCAGUUUUUCUGGGAGAAAUGAUGCCCCUAUUCCUGUUCACUUGCUUUUUUAUAAUAAGCAAUAAGUCUGGAAUGUUAGAAUUCUGCCCUCACUCCAGCUGCAUGCGUCUUACAUCAUUAGUGUGUGCUGGCGACUACAUGCAUGAGGCAUGGCCACGCAAUCAGCGCAUGCGUGGUGUAGCUCCAUCCCGGGAGCCCUUAAAAGCCGGGUGCAGGCCCCCCCAUCUCUCUCUGCUCUGCUCUCUACCCCCCACCCCACCCCACCAUCUUUCUCUCUCUUUCCUCCCCAGGCCUGGUCCUUUUAUCCCUCCUCCCCUUCCUCCUAAUAAAGCUCUGUGCUACUAA